ACAGAGGGUGCGAGCGUUAAUCGGAAUUACUGGGCGUAAAGAGCGCGCAGGCGGUCGUUCAAGUCGCGUGUGAAAGCCCCCGGCUCAACUGGGGAGGGUCACGCGAUACUGAUCGACUCGAAGGCAGGAGAGGGAAGUGGAAUUCCCGGUGUAGUGGUGAAAUGCGUAGAUAUCGGGAGGAACACCAGUGGCGAAGGCGACUUCCUGGCCUGUUCUUGACGCUGAGGCGCGAAAGCUAGGGGAGCAAACGGGA
rnacentral:rRNA from 1 species